rnacentral:rRNA from 1 species
UACGGAGGGUGCAAGCGUUGUCCGGAUUUAUUGGGUUUAAAGGGUGCGUAGGUGGCUUGUUAAGUCCGGGGUGAAAGCCCACAGCUCAACUGUGGAACUGCCCUGGAUACUGGCGAGCUUGAGUCCAGACGAGGUUGGCGGAAUGGAAGCUGUAGCGGUGAAAUGCAUAGAUAGCUUCCAGAACCCCGAUUACGUAGGCAGCUGACUAGGCUGGUACUGACACUGAGGCACGAAAGCGUGGGGAGCGAACAGG